GAAUUGUAUGGUUGCUGCAAAGUCAUUACUAAGUGCUUGUCCCUGACCUCCAAGGCUAGAGAACUGAAUGGUUUCCCAGAGACUACAUUGAACUAGCUGUAGGUUUAUCCCAAUUUAUAAAAGGAUUUCACACAAAGGUUGAGUGCAGGAAUUGGUAUUAAUAUACCAAAGCACCUCUGGCUUUGAUUAGACCCUAGACUUAGCCCCUCACCCUUGUGGUAGACCUCUUGCAAAGGGUUUCCUAUCCCACAGCUUUACACUCGCCCCAGUGCAUAAAUGCUCAAGUACCUACAAUCUCACAACAAAGCCACUCCCCAUGUGCAGUGACUCAGGGUUGAGAGAGCUGACUACUACAGCUCUAGCAAGCGAUGACCAACUGCCUACCACAAAAAUAAAGAAAAGAAAAGCCUCAGCGAGCUCUGAAUAAGCUACGGAGUUUCCACUAUGUGCCUCCUGUCCUUCAGUAGUCCCAUCUACUCCAAACUCCCCAAACUCCCCACAGCCUCAAGCAGCGGUGUUUCAAAGGCUUGGCUUCUGGAUCCUACAAAAGCACUGCAACCUAAAUAGGAGGAUGGGCCACACUCAAAUGACUCAAACUCCCAGUCUGUUGCUCUAUUUCUGAGAGGGGAUGGUCUACACAGUUAGCAAUGGGGCUGGCUGGUAAAGGGAUGAUCGGAUGGUAGGCACACUGUGCUAAGGAUGAAUCUGGCCCUACUAGCAUAAUGUUUUAAUCACUCAGCCCAUUAGCACUAUGGAUAAUAAAGUGUGACAGACCUCAAGAGUGCAAAUGAUUUGCUCCUCUGCUGUCAUGCCCACAGAGUACCUUCUCCAAGGUCAUACAUUAGAUAAGUAUGGGCACAGGAACAUUCAUUCCUUACUCAAUGACCAUGCUCUCUCACUCCCACAUGCCACCAACAGAAGUGGGAAUGGGGUCUGACUCUGACCAAGGAAGAAUUGUUACCAGACCAAACAUGAGUCCCCUUCUUGGGAGUUAAACUACACCAGAAGUAGUUGUCACACAAAGCAGACAUUUUAUUUGUGGCAUGCAGCAAAGAAAAUGGAGACCAUAGAGAAUAAUUUCACAAAGCAAUGGCUCCCCCAGCACUGGGACGUGGGUACCUUUAUUUGGGAGAGGGAAUGACUAUUCAAAGGGGAAGUUUCAUCAUCACAUGUAGAAGUGGGCAUAAGCUUGGACACGUGGUUUGAAAUCAUGCUUUUACACACAUCACAGGAUCUAAAAGUGGCUGCUUUGCCCCUCCCAGAGGAGGAGAAUUCCAAACAUUAAGGAGGGCAGGUUAUUUUAGUACAACUCUGCCUGUCUGUGCAGGUGUCAGUCUUGUGGCUGUGGUCUGGGACAGUGUGGUCCUGUUCAGAGUGGUUGGAUCCAGGUCAGUUGUUGCUUAGAGCUUCUUCCUGGAACAUAGCUGAAACCACAUAAGCUCAAGACUCCAAAAGUCGUUAGAGAAAGAAACAUCUGCACCCUUCAGGAAGACAAAAGAAUUAUGUUGAACACAAAAGGUUACAGUUUAAGCAAGACAAGAGAAGCAGGUUAGAGUCCAUGGCUGGUGACAGAAUGGCAAGGCUUCCACAUAUCACAUUCUUAUGCUACAUCACAUGUCAUCUGUGGCUUAGGUGUCACAGAAAGACGAGGCUCGUAUAAACCCAGAAUUUUUCCUUUGGCAGCCAACAAUUGGUCACAUUGCAUGUUUCAAGGUUACAGAGGAUCCCCUCAGUACAAAUGUGGGGCCGUAGCAGACAAUUCUCGCUCAGAGCUUUAAAGCCAGAGCCAAGUGUUCCAUAAGUCGAUAAAACCAGGAAGGCAACCUCUGGAAGCGGGCACCCAAAGGACUCCAGAAAAACCUUUCAUUCUCUGGCUUUCUGGACUUUUCAUCCUGGGGCCUCUUUCUUGGGCAGCGAAAAGCCUCCCCUUCUGGACUGCAGGAGAGGGAUGUGCAGGUCCAUGGCUAAGAUGGGCGGGUGGGAAGACGAGGGGGAGAACAGUUCCUUUACCCCCCAGCAGAGGUAGGCUAUGGAAUGCAGAGGAUUCAAGAACACAGGAAAUGCUAUUUUCUUGGGGCUGGCUAAGGGCUGCUUCCCUUCCCUCCUCCCUCCAAUUAAAAACGAAAGCCCAUGAUGAUGGAGAUCGGGAGAAAGAAGACUUAAGUUGUGUCUCCGGGCUUGUCCUAGCAGAAGCCCUUCCUGGCCCGGUCCUCCCGCUGCUCGUGAAGGGCCUCACCCUGGGCUCUCCGGCACCAUCCUUGCUCUGGCUGCUUCUGUAGCGCGCCUGGCAGAAGGCAUCAAAGUCGAACACUGUGUAGUUGGCGUCGGGCGUGGCCUCACCACGGCCAGGGUCAGACGUGCGCUGCAGGGUGGCCCUGCCCAUCAUCACCAACGCCUGAGAUCGCACGUGAAGGGCCUGGCAGCCUCGGGGCUCCAGGAGUUGCGGUGCGGACGGCCGAGGAAACUCUGCCAACGUAGACCACCUGGGUUUGCGCCUGCGUGAGUGAGACGGGCAGCUGAGCAGCUCAGAGGGCGCCUGCGUGAAUGAGAGACGACGCUGAGCGGCUCACAGGGCGCCUGCGUGGGAGAGAGGAGACUCAGAGACGCUUACAGCGCGCCUGCGUGGGCGAGAGGGGCCACGGAACCUCUCACAGGGUGCCUGCGUGGAUGAGAGGAGCCUGCCAGCCGCUCACCUGGCACCUGUGUGGGCGAGAGGGGCAGUCCAGCUUCUCACAGGGCGCCUGUGCGAAGUACUGCCUUGCCGAGGAGUAAGUCCUGGCUCGUAGCCCCAGGCGCCCUCCGCGAUUUUGAGGAGCAUCCCAGCCUGCCACAACUUCCGCAGUAAUAGCCCGGGCCCCUAUUUAGUUCUUUAAAUAGCUCUACGAGGAAGGUAAUAUCUUCAGAUUUUACCGAGAACGAAACUGCAGCUCUGAGAAUUUAUGUAAGUUACCGAAGGUCAUAGGUCGUGGCGCUGCAACUUCAGCUCCGUGAUCCGAAGCCUGGGCCCAUCCUGUGGAUGCGGGAAAUGGGCGAAGGGAGGGGCUGUGGCUCUGGGAACUUUGAGUAGCAAGACUGUUUCUAGAAGGAUCUGGUGAAACAGAGGCUUCUGGCGUUCUACGUGUUUCUGUCAGGAGUGGCUGAAGACGUGGACAAGGCUGAGUUUUCAGUUUGGCUUGGCACCAUCUUUUGUAAGAAGCUCCUUAUCUGCCUCACCUUCAGUGUCUCCAUCAGCCCGUUCAUCCUUCACACAGCCACCAGAGUUAUCUUCCUGCGCACAAGUUGGAGAAUGUCAUUUGCUUUAUCAGAAACUUGAACGGCUUUUUAUUCCCUAUAGAAUAAAGAAAAAAAUUAAAAAAAAUUUUUAAUAUGUGAAUAACAUGUACUUAUGGCUAAUGGUAGUUAUAUUUACUAACUGAAACAAAACAAAACAAAACACAGCAUACAGACUCUUCUACUCUGUUUGGCCCAGAAGUGUCUGAACCUCUCUACCUGGGAUGAAAGAGAGCAGUUGUUUACCUCCCACACAGUGUAGCCAAGGCCAGCUACAAGAGUUUGCUCAUGUUAUUGUCCAUCCGUGAGAGGUGAACUCCAGCUCGUGGAGAUUUCUAUGAAGCAUUUCAAUUUUUUUGAAAGAAAAUAUUAAUGGAACACUUGCUUUAUGCAUUAUUAUUAUUGUUGUUGUUAUUAU
rnacentral:lncRNA from 1 species